rnacentral:rRNA from 1 species
UUUGGAGGGCAAGUCUGGUGCCAGCAGCCGCGGUAAUUCCAGCUCCAAUAGCGUGUAUUAAAGUUGUUGCAGUUAAAAAGCUCGUAGUUGAAUUUCGGGAUCAAUUUACUGGUCGUGCAAUAGUACGUACUGGUUUUAUUGGUUUCUACCUUCUGAUGAACCAUGAUGCCAUUAAUUUGGUGUCACGGGGAAUCAGGACUGUUACUUUGAAAAAAUUAGAGUGUUUAAAGCAGGCUCACGCUUGAAUACAUUAGCAUGGAAUAAUGAAAUAGGACGUUUGAUUCUAUUUUGUUGGUUUCUAGGAUCGACGUAAUGAUUAAUAGGGAUAGUUGGGGGCAUUAGUAUUCAAUUGUCAGAGGUGAAAUUCUUGGAUUUAUUGAAGACUAACUACUGCGAAAGCAUUUGCCAAGGAUGUUUUCAUUAAUCAAGAACGAAAGUUAGGGGAUCGAAGACGAUCAGAUACCGUCGUAGUCUUAACCAUAAACUAUGCCGACUAGGGAUCGGAUGAUGUUAAUUUUUUAAUGACUCAUUCGGCGCCUUACGGGAAACAA